GUCCCGGGCUCUGAGCGGGUCUCCACUUCUGGAACCUCCUCUGUGCCUGGCACUGUGCUGGACGCUGGGAACGCAGGGGCGACCGAGAGAGCAGGUCUCGGUGCACCUGGAGCUCAGAAAUCGGUGAAAACAAGCAGUCAUAAUGGGGGUGGUAGGUGCCAUGAGAGAGGAGGCGCCGGGCUUUGGGGGCUGGGUGAAGAGCAUCUAAAUCUAGACCCUAGAUGCGGGGAAAGACUUCCUCCUGGAAGCCCUGAGUGGUUAGGAGUUAGUCGAGUGAAGAGAAGCGAAGUCACAGAUGCAGAGGCCUACAGGCAAAGGACAAAUUUGAGGAACUGAAAAGAUUCACAUGACCGGUCUUGGGGGAAGAACUUGAGACGCUCCCCUUGUGCCCUGACCACAGCCGGCUGUGUGUCACCGGCCGUCUCCUCCACUAGCCGUGAGCUCCUCCAGGGCAAGGGACCUUGUCUCAGGCCUGGCAUACUACAUAUUGAGCACCUGGGAGAGGUGGAGCACUGGAGUCAGAAAAGUGAUGAGCUCGCACAGAAUGCAGGACAGAAGAGGCUGGGAGCCAGGGAGCCUACAGAUCAUAUUCCAUUCGGAGACAUCAGAAGCUGCUCGAUCACAAGCACAGUCUCUCCGGGCAGUAUUUAUCAAGUAUCCAGCACAUACCAAGUCCCAAAAUAGAGGAAUAAGGAAGAAAUCCAGCCCAUGAUCCUCACUUUGAGUGCCCUUGUAGUCUAAUUGGAGAGUCACAUGAGAUGAUGAUCAAGGCCCUUGGUGAGAGCAUGGUCCUACAGAGUCUCAGGAUGAAAUCAAGAGCAGGUGGGACUCAUCCAGAAGGGCUUCCUGGGGAAGCAGGCUUUUAAGAUGAGAUGGAGAGAAAGGACAGACAAGCCCUAAAGCCCUAGAGGGCAUCACGCACUUCCCUAAGGCCCCAAGUAGUGCACACUUUCCGUGGUAGCACUCCUUAUGCAACGGUAAUUAUUUGUUUACACUUCUUUCUGCUCCAUUAGACUGAGUAUCUGGGAGGGAGGGACCUUGUUUUCCUCUCUGUAUCCCCAGGCAGUGCCUGACACAUAGGAGUUGCUUAAUAACUAUUUGAAGAAGAGUAAGAGGAAAUGAGAAAAUAAAUGUACAAAAACAGUAGAAACAGGCCUGUGGGGGGAAAUGGAGCAAAUUAACUUGGUAGGACUAGAGAACUGGUGUUGAAAUAACAUAUGAAAUCAAGAAAUAAAACAGCCAUAAAAGACAUCCUGGGAACAAUUGGGGAAUUUGAACAUGAAGUGAGUAUUAGAUGAGAUAGGAAUUGUUAAAUUUUCCAAGAAUGGUGAUUGUUUUAUGAUUAGUAGGGGAAGGUCCUUGUUUUCAGGAAGUGCUCGAUGACUUGUUUAGGAGCAAAGAUCAUGGUGUCUUGCAGCUUAUUUUCAAAAUGGUUUAUCAAAAACUGUGUAUAUUGUUGACAUCUAUUAUUAUCACAUUGCUUUGUAUUAUAAAUCGGAAAUAGUGGCAAAUCACUGUUGUUUUUUUUUUUUUUUUUACUAAUAGCUCUUUUUGUUCUCUUUUUCUUUCUUUUUUAAUUUAUUUUUAUUCUUUUUGACUAACAACUCCUGACUGUGAGUGUAAGGUAUAUGGUUAUUCAUUGUACUCUUUCAGCUUUUCUAUAUAUUUGAAAUUCUUUUCAGUGACAUAAAUGAUUGUGGGGGUCGGGGGCAGGAAGGGGCUGGGAGAAAUGGAGGCAGUAGGAUAAGGGCCCAGAGAUGACAGGGGGCAGUGGAUCUUGGAGCCUCCUUUCACCCACUGAACUGUACUGCUGGUCUGGUGCCGACUCCUUUCUCUGCCCUAAGCAUCAACUCAACCCAGUCCUGGAGAGGCGUCCGCUUGGGUCUGUUUUGCUGGGAGCUGGCUCCCUGCAAAGACUCAGAUGCACUCAGUAGGUGGUGCUGUGUCUUCUUC